GUAGUCCACGCCCUAAACGAUGUCAACUAGUUGUUGGGGAUUCAUUUCCUUAGUAACGUAGCUAACGCGUGAAGUUGACCGCCUGGGGAGUACGGUCGCAAGAUUAAAACUCAAAGGAAUUGACGGGGUACCCGCACAAGCGGUGGAUGAUGUGGAUUUAAUUCGAUGCAACGCGAAAAACCUUACCUACCCUUGACAUGGUCGGAACCCUGCUGAAAGGUGGGGGUGCUCGAAAGAGAACCGGCGCACAGGUGCUGCAUGGCUGUCGUCAGCUCGUGUCGUGAGAUGUUGGGUUAAGUCCCGCAACGAGCGCAACCCUUGUCCUUAGUUGCUACGCAAGAGCACUCUAGGGAGACUGCCGGUGACAAACCGGAGGAAGGUGGGGAUGACGUACAAGUCCUCAUGGCCCUUAUGGGUAGGGCUUCACGACGUCAUACAAUGGUCGGAACAGAGGGUCGCCAACCCCGGCGAGGGGGGAGCCAAUCCCCAGAAAACCCGAUCGUAGUCCGGAUUGCACUCUGCAACUCGAGUGCAUGAAGCUGGAAUCGCUAGUAAUCGCGGAUCAGCAUGCCCGCGGUGAACUAC
rnacentral:rRNA from 1 species